rnacentral:lncRNA from 10 species
CCUCACUCCUGUGCUUAGUCAUGUUGCCUCAAACUGUACUGGUGUAGGAGUGGCCCCAGACAAGGCCCUACCACCCCCUCAGUUUUCACUUAAAGCAGCAAGGAGAGGUAGAACCUUGAUCAGAAAAUGCCCCCAGCACCUCACAUUGGAAGCCUGUGAUUAGCAGAGAGGAAAGAAGGUUUGCAAUGUGUGGAGCCAGAAGUCCAUCUAUGGAUAACGAUACCCAGCAGAAACAUGGAAAAUUUCAAGCGCAGAUCGGUGCGGUGAAACCCUGUCUUACUCUCCUACAAAGACCUAGUGGCUUCAGGACACAGUUCAGACAAUUCAUUUGGCUCAGAAGAUAUACCUGCUCACCCUCAGCAUCCCUAUCCACUUCUUCUCUCCAAAAGAGCAGACACACAGGGAGAAGUUGGGGGGAUCCCAGUAUACAGCCUCUUCUUUACUCCCAACUUUCUCAAGGGAGAGAGAAUUGUAUCUGAUAAGUGGCUUAAUUUACACAAAAUCCUCUCUUCAUUGUGUGUCUUGAUGGUGCUUGCUUGUGCCAAAGGAGAUCUUCCAUUCAGGUAGAAAAUCAUGAGCAACUUCCUGCGGUGAUGUCUUCGCCCCAGUCACCACUCUGAGCACCUCCUACUCUGCAUGCAACCCCUCUCUCCCAGCAGAAGCCUGAGUGACUACACCUGCCCACCCCCAAGAGGAUGAGGCCCAGACUCAAGUCCCCCAGGUCAUGGCCUCCUGGGUGAUGCUGCACUUCCCAGAUCCCAAAGACCUCUGUAAAAUCAAGUCCAAGUGGAGAUGAAAUGGAUGUAGAUGCUCUCCACUCUCCCCGUCUCCUGGUGCAGGCCCUCAGAAGAGACCUCCCCCAGGGCAGGAGCCACCAGUUCAAGGGUGAGAGCAGUAUAGUGGUGUGGGAGUAGGAGGUGGUUGGUGCAGUUGGCCUGGUACAAACUCCUAGACAUUCUGACAUGUGGAUUUCACCAAAGAUAUUCUGUCAUCCCAAGGAACUUCACAGAUCUGGAAAGAGCAGAACUGUUUCUGUGAAAGGAAAGAGAGAGGGACAAUCAGUGUGGGUUGCACUAAAGCGGUAGAUGCCCAGGCAUGAGACAUCAGAGUGGGGGCAAGCAUGGAUAGAGGUGAGACACUGUGCCCCCUACCUGCUCCUGCUGAGACCCAGAGCACUGAACCAAACUGUGCAGAGAUGACUCCAUUCCCCCUCUCAGGUGGGGAUGGAAGGCUCCAGGUCACCAGGUGGCAUUGCCCCCAUUUCCAGCCUGCAGGGUUCCUG